UGCUUUGUGCUAAAGUCAACAGUGACAGAGUUUGAGCUCAAAUAAAUGCCGUGAUGUCUGGAGCCCUUUGCAGAAGGCAGAAGGCGAGCUUCUACAAUGGGCUCCUGUGUGGCUUGCCAACAACAAGCACCGGCUAUUUUGCACAGGGCUCUGCUGACUGAAGUGAUCCCCACGGCCCGAGUGGAGGAGAGGAGGGAGAGGACGCCUCGGAGGGAAGAGGGAUAGCUGUGGAAGAGCUGAUGCACUCACACACACUCAACCACUCACACAAUGUCCCUCUCAGUCCUGGGUUGUGACCGGCCCAUGGCAUUGGCCAGAUGCACAUGGUGUUUCAUUCGAAGGACACUUUUCCACUGCAGCUCACCAUCUACUUUCAUCGCCCUGCGUCAAGCGACCUGAAAGCACUUUCCUGUCGAUGUACUUGGCUAUAUCUACGCCCUGACCUGUCUGCCAUAUGUAAUAUCAAAGCCUCUGUCAGCGUGGAGCUGAAUGGGAACAAAAGAGAGGCCUCCAUUAAUGAUUAACUGUUCUAAAAGCCCCGGCUUUUGUAUUCCCAUGGUGCCCAGGCUAUCUGGCCACCAUGUGACAUGCUCACAGCAUUUUUCGAGCAGAUUGGGGGAAAGCUAGUGAGCAAACACAGGUGCUUUGGAGCAGCGUUGCCGACGCUGUCAGGGACAACCACAAACAAGAGCAGCUAUGCCUGGCUAAAUGAAUCCCCACCCCUCCCACCACCAUCGCCACCUCCACCGCCCACCCUUUUUUUUGCUUUUUGCUCUGUCGCUGGCUAACUUGUUUGCUAGCUCCCUAUAGCUUUCUCCAUGCAAAAGCCUUCCUUCUGGAUAGUCAUUGCGCCCCCCCCGACCCCCUUCCACAAGUCCAAUGUCUGCUACAGCCGGGCUUCGCAACUUCUCACACCCUCUAAAGAAACAAACAAAUAAAAGUGAGGACGGCCGACCGCUUCUUUGAGGUGAUGGCAUUUGCUGUGGUCAUGACUAGUGGGAGAGCAAACAAAUUAACGGUGUCCGAGUUUUCACUUUCCAAACCAAACUAAAUGUCUUUUAGUUCAAGUGGGGCAAUUCCACUGACCCUGGUGUCAAAUGCUGCGUGAGGGUUGCACACUCUUGCACUUGAAAUGUUGAGAGGAGGCCGUAAGAAAUGAAACAGGGCUUGAGCAUUGGCUUACGUGAGCCUGGUGUGGUGCAGUACCUCGAAUAAAUCUUGAAUAAAUUGUAGGUGUAAUAAACACUGUAUUUAAUUUCUGCUAUCCAAGCAUUGUGGCCACGAACUUUAACAAGAGGUGUCUGGAGCACUUAACCUUUUCAUCCAGUCUGACUGAUUGUUCGGAGUGACUGGAGGUGCUGUGUCGCUCAACUUUGAUAAGACAAUCAGAUGAUAGGACGGCGUUAUCUUAACAUGGCUUUCCGGCUGGGAGACAAAUGAACAGUGUGUGAUAACAGGAACAAAAGCUCGGCUCUUAUUGGCUUGUUCCUCCAAAGAAAGGAAAAUUAUCAGAAUGGAAAAUUCACAAUAGGGACAGUUUAUUUCAUUUUCAAUUUUCUACUUAGGCUCAGGACAGAGGAACAGCUUUCUUUCUUUCUUUUUUAUCACUCAAAUAUUUAUACUGUCUCUUGUUGGCAUUUUGGUCUGACAGUCUGCAAUUACCAGAGCCUAUAAAGCAGUUAUCACUGGAAAGAUGAUAAAAAUGUUUUAAAACAAACAAUUUAAACAGGAGAGGAAAUUAAGUUGUAAAAGUGAGAGACGCGGCUACGGAAAAAGACACACAGUGAGUGUAAAAAUAUAGAGAAAGAAGGAAAUGUGGGAUCUUGUUGGUGGUGUCUAUAUGUGAGAGAUGAAGGAGUAGAUAGAGAAAAAAAGGUCAAAAGUAACUUCCUCAGAGACACGCUACUGAUAAGUUAAACACCUCUUCUGUCUGGGCUUUUUGACUUUUGCAGCCGAAUUCUCAGAGUCAGAGAGGGCUGUGUAUACUCAAGGAUUCACUCAAGACUUUGUUUGCUCUAUUCCCCCUAAAAAAUGAUUGAAAAAUAUUGGUGCCCUGGCUUGAAAUGUUAGCACUUUGUUAGGACUUAAAAAAAAGAACUUGUAACUGUGUAGAAACUGCAUGAAUAAAAUAUUCUCUUUUUAAGAAAA